AGAAUGUGACCCGUCCCGGCUCUCCUCUUGUCUUGCAGCCGCUGCCUCCAUGAUGGGGCCAUGAUUGCCCAGGAGAGGAAUGGAGGCUCAGAGGGACUACCGAAGUCACACAAGUGCAUGCAGGACCUUAGUCCCUGGACUGGGGAUCGAACCAGUGUCCCCUGCAGUGGAAGUGGGGAGUCUUAACCGCUGGACCGCCAAGGAAGUUCCUUUCUUACUUAUGUUUUGAAAAGAUUUCUAUGGUUACAAAAGGAUGUACAGGGAAGUCUCCCUUCCUCUCUUUCUUGAACACUCCGUUCUCCCCACAGGCAACUAAUGAAAUGUUUGGGGUUUUUAAAAUUGUGGUUAAAUGUAAUAUAAAAUUUACCAUUGUAAUCAGUUUUAAGUAUGUACACUUAAAACUGCAGUUCUGUGGCAUUAAGUGAAUUCAUAUUAUCACCACCAUGCAUCUUCAGAACUUUUUCAUCUUCCCCAUCUGAAACUCUGUACCCAUUGUAAGGAAGGAAAAUAAUUUUUUCCUCUACGCUUCUAGGUUCUUGGCUGAGACAAACUCUUUUUUUUUUUUUUAAUUAAUUAAUUUAUUUAUUUUUGGCUGCAUUGGGUCAUUGUUGCUGUGCGCAGGCUUUCUCUAGUUGCGGCGAGCGGGGUCUACUCUUUGUUGUGGCGCGUGGGCUUCUCUUGCUGCGGAGCAUGGGCUCUAGGCUUGUGGGUUUCAGUGGCUGUGGCACGCAAGCUCAGUAGUUGUGGCUCGCGGGCUCUAGAGCAAGGCUCAGUAAUUGCGCACAUGGGCUUAGUUGCUCCAUGGCAUGUGGGAUCUUCCCGGACCAUAGCUCGAAACUGUGUCCCCUGCACUGGCAGGUGGGUUCUUAACCACUGCGCCACAAGGGAAGUCCUGAGACACCUCUUUAAUGAAAGAGAGAUUAACAGGAGAAAAACUACUUUAAUUUAAUUUUGUAUGUACCAGGGCCCCAAAGAUAUGAGACCCAAAGAAAUGACCAAAGUAGGCAUAAAAUCUCCAAGAUGGGAGAUUUUUUUUUUCCUGCUUCCAGAGGGACAAAGGAAGGUCAGAGUACCUGUCCUUCUUGUACCAGCUACUUCUUAAGUAACUUUAAUUCAAAAUAAUCAAUAUGCCAAAGUAUCAUAUUUGGGGGUAGCCUGCCCUGAACCCCAUCACCAUUAAACACAAACUUCCUAAAAUGUUUUUUUGUGACUCCUUCCAGAGACAUUUUAUGCGUAGUCAAGCAAAUAAUAUAAAUAAAACCACAAAUGAUAGCUUAUUUUAUACACUGUCUGCAUCUUGCUUUUUUCACUUAAUAAUAUGUCUUGGAUAUUAUUUCACAUCAAUACAUGAUGCAAUUUCUCAUCUUUCUGCUCAGCCUUCCCUUGUAUGGAUAUUCCCUGUGGGUUUAGCCCUCCCCACACUGAUGGAAACUGAGCGUGUUUUCAAUCUUUUGCAGUGCCGAUAGCUAUGGUUUGCUUCUAACCUCCUGUUUCCUCUCCCAGUUCAUGACCUUGCAUCUCCUGCUCUGCUUCCCCAUGGGGAAACCAACCACCACUGUGACUUAAGGGCCUUCCAGUCCUCUGGGCUUCCGGCUUGCUGUCCCCUCUCAGGAGACGACCUGAUCCUUCACCCCUGGCUCUGCCGUGACGCCAGCACAUGUCUCCUGGGCCCAGUACCCUCCCUGGUGGCCUGUGUUCCAGAUGUGACAAACCAGGGACAUAAGACAGCAUACUUCUGGAAAGGAAAUUCUUCAAAAGGGGUGAUCAACAUACACCUACGCAGAAAAUCCUGGGAAUUCUCUGCUGUCCGGUGGCUGUUCCCUCCUGCAUGCUGUAGUGGACAUGCCUCACAUAUGGUGUAUUGCAGCCGAGAGUUCAAUCACCUUUAGAACAUCCCAGCUGUACAUGUCAUGUCAUGUCACCUGCUUGUUGAUGGCAACCACAGCAUGGUUUGGUCUGGAGCUGACUGGAAGAAUUGAGAGAGUUCAAGACUUGUCCGGUUUCCCAGCGGGCCCGGAGGAGGUGGAGUUUUCUCUCUCCUUUGCUGGUGGGUUCCUGCCAUUUGCUCUCAAGAAUCCUCCUGGGACAGCCCCUUAGCUGGAUCAGGUGUCUGGAGUUUCUCGCACUGAAGCCCGCAUGCCAAGACUGCAUCCACAGCUGUGGUGAGUUUCCUAUGCACUCCAUCAGUUACUUUUCAAACAGUCCUACGAGGUACCUUUCCAACUUUUCCGAUAAGGAAAUUUUAUAAAAUAGAAGUACUAGUAGCAAAUGACUUCGCAGAGUAGAAUGGGUUUAUGCGGCAGCUAGAGCUACUUGAGGUUAACAACAGCAGCCGUGGACAAUGGCGGUGGUUGAGGAUCUUCGAACAGCUUCAGCAAAUGAGGAGGCUCACCCUGACCAGCCUGGUGAGAAAGAGCUUUGGAGGCAGAAGGGGUAGAGUUUGAGUCUCAGCACUGCCACUGUUCUUGGUUGCAUCACCUCAGACAAGUUACUAAACUCCGAACCUCAGUUUCCUCAUCUGUAAAAUGGGGAUAGUAAUUCAACUGCCACUCUCCCCCCACCUCCUGUAGUGAUCACAUAUGUAAAAUGCCUGGCAUUUAGCCACUGUUUGAGAAGUUAUACCUACUAUUAUUAGUCACCAGUAGCUGGAUUACAUGGAUACUUUGCAGUGGGAAUUUGUGACUGUAUCUAAGGCUUGUCAAUCAUGGGUAAAGUGAUAGAACAUGUAAAACUUGCUUUUUGACCCCCUCCACUUCCUCUGGGCUCCCUGUGUACAGUUUCCUCUGUAAAUUCCCUGUUAGUUUAUCUACACCCCCCCCCCCAACCUGUCAUUGCUCAUGGAUUCAUGUCCUGGAUUUUUAAUUUAUCAAAAUGUGCCUGUCAUGUGUCCUCAUAUUCCUCAGGACCUUACUCUAGGCCUAAUGACUAAUCAAUUGAGGCCAAAAUUACCCCCUGCUGCCCCUAGUUUACUGUCUACGUUAACAUGACUUUAUUCUUCCAUCGUUCAUUAUGAUAAGUUUACUAUUACAGGACACUCUUGCCCAGUCAAAUAAGUUGGUUGUUCAUUUCAGGAAUCUCCUGAAAGAUCCAUCAACUCUUAACAGGAAGCAUCAACACACAGUUCACGCUUGAGAUACUUCAAACCCCUCACCUCAAACUCUCACCUUGCUGCUUCCAACCCCAAACCGCUAUAUUAUGAAACUGCCCCAAUCCUAAUCAAGCCCCCGAAUUGAAAGACUUUCAGCCAAACUUGAAAUUCUCAUUGAGAUAUCUAGGACCUUGCCCCUCCCCGCUCAGGGUGCUGUGGGGACCACAGAUGGAGGGCCGAGUGCACAGAUUCCCUGGGGACGAUUGCCGCUGGACCUGUGGAGUACUGCAUACAUCCCAGACAGACCCUUCCAUGGUGAAUCUGCCAGUGGUAGAUUCCUAGUUCUAGCCUCAAAGAGGUGAAAGCUAUCUAUUCCAUUUGACUUGUAAAAUUACACGAUGUUUACAUAUCUAUAGUUUAGGCCUCGCCAAACUAGAGGUUUACUCUGUGUUUUGUGGAAGAGAAUAACUGAAUUAAGUGCAAAUACACAGAAAGGUUUCUGGAGCCCAGGCUACCUCCUUGGCUAGGCCACCCGUGGCGGGCCACAUGGCGAGGUCCUGCCCUGGAGAGUCGCCUCCCAGGGAUGGGGGUGGGAAGAUGUUCAAAGGAGAACUUUAAAAACCAACUUAACAGUGAAUCAACACUCGAACAUUUCACCUGAAAGAAGAUCAUUCAUUAAUCAGUAAAAGUUGCAUUUGCUUGUUUGUUUUGGGCUUCCCCGGAGAUGAAUAUUAAAAUACUGCAAAGUUUUAAAAAGUCUGACCAAAUGUUUCAUGUGGUGACUUUGGGUAGACCUAGCCUCAAUCAGAAGCAAACACAGACCACACAACUGGAAACUCCUGGAAAGAGAGACAUGCCUCACUUCCUUUUACUUAGAAUCAUAUGAAACUUGACACUGAACAUCCAGAGGAGAUGAACUAGGAUUCGGGUCCAAAUCUGCCUGGGUCCCACGCAAUUGUUUGGUUUACUGAGGUUUCCUAAGGUCUUUUUUUUAUUUUGCGGUACGUGGGCCUCUCACUGUUGUGGCCUCUCCCGUUGCGGAGCACAGGCUCCGGACGCGCAGGCUCAGCAGCCAUGGCUCACGGGCCCAGCCGCUCCGCGGCAUGUGGGAUCCUCCCGGACCGGGGCACGAACCCGCGUCCCCUGCAUCGGCAGGCGGACUCCCAACCACUGCGCCACCAGGGAAGCCCUCUUCUUUUCUUCUCUUUUCUGUUUUUUUGGGUGGGUUUGUUUGUUUUCUGAUUUUUUUUUUCUUGUUAAGGCUUCUCAUAUUCUGAUAAGGAUAUAGUGGGGACUUUGUCAUUGGGAAGCCAACCCCUCUCCUCUCCUUCCAGGUGGAGGCCUGGUCAGGGCGCCUCCCACACGCCACAGCAACUCCAUAAAAGGACGAAUAACCUAUGGACACAUAUACACUACCAAAUGUAAAAUAGAU